GCUGUGAUGACUUUCUUACUCAUCUGAAUUCUUGAUGAGAAAAUUCCUCUAAGAAGUGCUGAGCUU
rnacentral:snoRNA from 10 species